CUCCGCCCCUGCCCCGCCGCCAAUCGCCGCGCGCUGACCCGCUGAGAUGGGCGGGGCCAUGGGCGGGGCCCGGAAGGCUAGGUCGAAUUCAGCGGCGAAGUCCAAGCGCUCGAGGUGGGAAAGGGCUUGCAGCGCCUUUGGGGUCGGCCGCCACUCCUCCACGGCGGAAGGACGAGAUUGCCACCUGCAGGCUGGGGAGCAGGGCACGCCUGGGCUGGUCUUCUGAAUCCUCCGCCGCGAAGGGGCCCCCCGGGCUUUAUAACAACCUAGGGCCAGGCGGAAAAGGAUUUAGGGCAACCUUCAAGAUACGUACAGUCUAGCACGACAAAGGACAUUGAAUAUAGGUGAGGCAAAGACAGAAUAAAUACAGGAAAUUGUACAGAACCAAGGCAUAGACUUGAGCACGUUCACGGGUUAAGGAGGAAGGAGUCAUUGGAAAAAGAGAGGUUGAAGAGACGGCACAAACUUCUGUAAUAGGGAAGACACUUUGUACUCUAUUAUGAGUUAAUCACUACAGAAAUUGUUGCCUCUCACAGGAAACAUCCUGACCAGGCGGACCUGUGGAUGACUGCAGGGGAGGAAGAAAUUAACACAUCUCUUGUGGAGGCUGACUGGAACCAGGAAACGUUUGACUUCACUCCUUCCCUUUUUAUUUUUAUUUUUUGUGGUACGCGGGCCUCUCACUGUUGUGGCCUCUCCCGUUGCGGAGCACAGGCUCCGGACGCGCAGGCUCAGCGGCCAUGGCUCACGGGCCCAGCCGCUUCGCGGCAUGUGGGAUCUUCCCGGACCGGGGCACGAACCCGUAUCCCCUGCAUCGGCAGGCGGAUUCUCAACCACUGCGCCACCAGGGAAGCCCACUCCCUCCCUUCUUAGUAUAAAAGAAGCCUGAAUUCUAACUCAGGCAAGAUGGUUCUUUGG